GUAACAGUUUCCGUAGGUGAACUGCGGAAGGAUCAUUGUUGAU
rnacentral:rRNA from 1 species